UGCAUCUGUGAUGAUAUUUUGGCUCCCUCUACUGAAAAAGUAUGAGGAGGACUGCCAUCGUUACCCAAAGUGUCUGAGAUCUG
ensembl:snoRNA small nucleolar RNA SNORD100